GUGCCAGCCGCCGCGGUAAUACCGGCAGCCCAAGUGAUGGCCGAUCUUAUUGGGCCUAAAGCGUCCGUAGCUGGCCGCGCAAGUCCAUCGGGAAAUCCACCCGCUCAACGGGUGGACGUCCGGUGGAAACUGCACGGCUUGGGACCGGAAGGCGCGACGGGUACGUCCGGGGUAGGAGUGAAAUCCCGUAAUCCUGGACGGACCGCCGAUGGCGAAAGCACGUCGCGAGAACGGAUCCGACAGUGAGGGACGAAAGCUAGGGUCUCGAACCGGAUUAGAUACCCCUGUAGUCC
rnacentral:rRNA from 1 species